rnacentral:misc_RNA from 1 species
AAUUACUACUUAAAUGUGGUUAAAAUCAAACUAACACAUUAGAAAAUUUAAUAAUUUGUUCUAUUAAUUCAUUUUCUCCUUGUUUAGUUUUGUAAAAUUUAUUUUUUUUGUGAAGUAAAUUUUUUUUAGUAAAUUUUUUAUAAAUGCUUUUUUAACUUUUUUUAAUUAAAUUUUUUUAAAUACAAUUUCAAUUUGAAAUUGAUUAUGUACCUAGUUUUGAGAGCUCUAAAACUCUCAAAAUGUCUGAAAAAGACAAUUAGCUCUUUCAAAACUGAACAGUAACAAUUUUAUAUCUGAUCUAAAAAUCAGAUAAUAUUCCAAAGUCUUUUAAAAUUAAACCGAGUUUAUUUUUAAAAUUUUAUAACUUUUAGUUAUAAAAACUCUAAAAUUGUUAAAAUACCUUAAGAUAUAUUAUCUAAAUAG